AAGAAAAGAAAAGAAGAGAAAAAAAAGACGAGAAAAGCAAAAAAGAAAGAGAAGAGAAGGAAAAGAGAAAAGAAAAGAAAAGAAAAGAAAAGAGAAAAGUAUAAGUAAUCUCCCAAAUGUCAAAAGAUGGGGCUACAGAAAAGGCAGAGGUGGUGUUUAGACCUACUGUAGUGAAUCAGAAAAGCUCUACAGCCAAAAGACCAGAGAACUGAAUUGAAAGGUAGCCAAGUCAUCAAACUGAAGAGUAGCUAAGUCAAGAACUACAGGAACAAUUUCACUGAAUGCUUCCAAAAAUGAAGACACCACAGUGGACCAGUGUGAGGCUGCAGAACUAAGUCUGGGAGGCUAUAUUGCUCUGAGAUGCAUUCAGGAUCUCAGGGAUGCUCAGAGCUAUUUUGAAUAAGC
rnacentral:lncRNA from 1 species